CAGGGAGGACAAAGUACGCUCGAAAACUGUCAGAUCUUACAGGAUGAUAAUGCGAGGGCCGAGUCCAAUGUGUUUAGUGGAAGUGGAUAGUUGAUCCAGAGAUUCUAAAGGCGAUGGCUACCCUGUGCUGUGGCUUAAACCAUUCAAGAAAUCAGAACCAUGUGUCUCUUCUCUCUUUCCCUAAUUUAUCUAAUUUACGACGUUGUGUAACUUCUUGUAGAAUUCAUCCUAGCAUUGAAGGGGAAACUGGAAACUAGUAUUGCUGCAUGUUCUCCCACUCGGAUAGGAAAUAUUUGUAUCAAUCUGCACUGCACAGAAUGUCAUCCCCUGCCUUUUGAUAUAUGAGAAAUUUGGCUCAGCAUUUUCUUCA